CACUGCACUGUUUCUGACUUUAUUUGAGUAUAACAGGGGCAGCUUCUGAGGAAGAGUACCCAUUUGAAAGGGAAUUGCUUUUUAGCACUCUUUGGCCAAAGCUAUACUCAAAACACUAAAGCUUACUGAGAAACUCUGAAUUUUUUGUGCAACAGAUCUUUUAGCAAAGCAUUAGUAAAGAAAUGAGCACGACUAAAAACUUAUUUAUUGAACACCAUCCAUAGAAUCAAGAAGGAGCGUUCAAUCUGUCAAUCCUUACCAUGUCUGGACCUGGUGAGUUUCUCCGGGUUGAGUCAAUUAAACCGCAGA